AAUAAUGAAUUAUUGGAUGUGGUCUAAUUAACAAUAAUUAACCACAAUAAUAAUUGAACAAUAUUAACUCAAGAUUGAGUUAAGGAAACUUCCCUUCUGCGUUGAUUACAGCUGCACAAUAAACUUAUCUGCGUUUGAAAGACCUAUAACCAAUAAUAUCGGUCUCACAAUUAGCAUAAUAUUUCAUAACACAUAACACUGUAAUUCACAGUCAAACCUUUUCCUAGGCACAUUACCACAUAGCCACAUCAGUGUUUAUAACCUAUAUAAACACUUAACAAGUCUAACUAGUUCAGUCUGGUUGGACUUCGAUCUAUUCUCGGUGUUCUGG
rnacentral:lncRNA from 1 species